GACUGAUGGUUUCCUCCCUCUGUAUGACAGCUCCUGGGAAGCUCUAGGAUGUGACUUUAAGCUGGAAAGACUCUCAGGAGCUAGGUUUGAUAUGGCACAAUCUCAAGGCAUCGCUAAGUCUGAAGUUCUUCCAGCAGGUCUGUAAACCACAAAGGACAAGCAGCUCAGAGAUUAGCGAAUGCGUCUCAGCUGUCCUAGAAAAGUGCUGUCAGCAAGUCUGAAGAGUUUCCCAGAAGCCCUGAAAGGACGCAAUAGCAUCAUUUAGCAGAAAGAAACAGCCCUGGAUUAAUGUUCUUUUGGGAUUCAUCUUCUGGCUUUGUGAUUUUGGGCAAGUUACUUAUCUUCCUCCAUUUAUUCACAUAUAUAAUGAGAGGAGUAGUACCUACCUUACAAACUUUUCUGUGAGAAGCAAAAAAAAUAAAAAUAAAAAAUAAAAAAUAAAAUUGUUAAAUAUUUGCUAUGUGUAAAAUGCUUAUUCCUUUAAAGUUUUCAUGUCAGUUAAAACAUGUUAUUGGCUUGAAUCCUGACUCAAGAACGGAAAUAGUAAUUGUGUCUGCCAUUCAGGGUGACACAGUUAUUUCCACUGGUUCAGGGUGGUGGGGUGGGAGCUACUAGAUAGAACAGGUGGGGCAAUUCUUGAUACAUUUUCGUGUUUUUUGUUACUACUAAUCCACCAACUCUUGUUUUCACUCAGAAGCAGAUAAAAUGGACAUAUUUAUUAUAGACUGAAAAAUGAUAAAUGAGAUUAAUUUUAAAAAUAAAAUGAAAAGGAGAAUAAUUGUUUAUAAAUGUAUGAUUUAUAAGUUCUGAAUGUAUAAUUUAUAAGUUCUGCAUGUAUGCAUAAUAAAAUCAUUUAAAUUACAGGAGUAUUAACUGAGUGAAG
rnacentral:lncRNA from 1 species